rnacentral:misc_RNA from 1 species
GGCAUGAAUAAAAAAUUUAAUUCAAAGUUCUUUUUUUUAAAAAAGAAAAUAUCCUUCUAUAUCAAUUAAUAUGUACAUCUUUUACCUUCUUUUUUGUUUUUUUUUUUAAAUAAGAGAAUGAGCAUUUAAAAAUUUAUAAUUCUACUUGUUUGUGUUUGUUUAUCUUUGUCUAUAUUUAUGUCCAUCUAUAUCUAUGUCUAUGUCCGUUUAUGUUCAUGUCUAUAUUUGUGUCUGUAUCUAUAUCUGUAUUUAUCUAUAUUUAUAUCUAUGUCUAUGUUUGCGUUCGCUUGAGCCUGUCUGCAUUUGUAUGCGUCUUUGUUUAUCUAUUUAUGUUCUUUUUUUUGUGUUUGUGUCGAUCUCUAUGUCUGUUUUUCUAUUUGUCUGUGUUUGUGUUGUUGUUUGUGUCCAUGCUUGUCUAUGUGAGUCUACAUCUAUAUGUCUAUAUCUAUGUCAGUCAAUCUACAUAUGUGUGUUUGUGUUUGUGUCUAUAUGCAUCUUUCUGUUUGUGUUUGUUUCUGUGUUCAUAUUUGUUUGUCUAUAUUUAUGUUCAUGUCUAUGUAUGUGUUUGUGUCUGUUUUUGUCUGAAUCUAUAUGUGCGUGUGUUAUCUAUGUUUAUUCGUGUUUGUCUUUGUUCAUAUCUACAUUUGUGUUCGUAUUUAUUUCUAUUUGUUUUUAUGCCUAUUAUGUAUUUGUAUCUUCGUCUCUGUGUCUUUUUGUUUGUGUGUCUAUCAUAUAAACAAAAUGAGAAAAAGUGAAUGUCAAGAGAAAAUGAGAUAUAACAAUAGAGAGUAAU